rnacentral:rRNA from 1 species
CUCCGGUUGAUCCCGCGGGACCCGACUGCUAUCAGAGUGGGACUAAGCCAUGCGAGUCAACGUAGCAAUACGUGGCAUACGGCUCAGUAACACGUAGUCAACGUGCCCAGGGGACGAGGAUAACCUCGGGAAACUGAGGAUAAACCUCGAUAGGCCAUGAUUUCUGGAAUGAUUCUUGGCUCAAACCUAUAUGGCCCCUGGAUUGGACUGCGGCCGAUCAGGCUGUUGGUGAGGUAAUGGCCCACCAAACCUAUUACCGGUACGGGCUCUGAGAGGAGGAGCCCGGAGAUGGGCACUGAGACAAGGGCCCAGGCCCUAUGGGGCGCAGCAGGCGCGAAACCUCUGCAAUAGGCGAAAGCUUGACAGGGUUACUCUGAGUGAUUUCCGCUAAGGGAAUCUUUUGGCACCUCUAAAAAUGGUGCAGAAUAAGGGGUGGGCAAGUCUGGUGUCAGCCGCCGCGGUAAUACCAGCACCCCGAGUGGUCGGGACGAUUAUUGGGCCUAAAGCAUCCGUAGCCGGUCCUGCAAGUCUUCCGUUAAAUCCAGCUGCUCAACAGAUGGGCUGCGGGAGAUACUACAGGGCUAGGAGGCGGGAGAGGCAAGCGGUACUUUAUGGGUAGGGGUAAAAUCCGCUGAUCCAUAGAAGACCACCAGUGGCGAAGGCGGCUUGCCAGAACGCGCUCGACGGUGAGGGAUGAAAGCUGGGGGAGCAAACCGGAUUAGAUACCCGGGUAGUCCCAGCUGUAAACGAUGCAGACUCGGUGAUGGGUUGGCCUCGCGCCUGCCCAGUGCCGCAGGGAAGCCGUUAAGUCUGCCGCCUGGGGAGUACGGUCGCAAGACUGAAACUUAAAGGAAUUGGCGGGGGAGCA